rnacentral:rRNA from 1 species
UCAUACGGAGGAUCCAAGCGUUAUCCGGAUUUACUGGGCGUAAAGAGUUGCGUAGGUGGUCCACCAAGUUUUUGUUUAAAGCCCAAGGCUCAACCUUGGAUCUGACAGAAAAACUGGUGGACUCGAGAACGAGAGAGGUGGUUGGAAUUCCCUGUGUAGGAGUGAAAUCCGUAGAUAUAGGGAGGAACACCAAUGGCGAAGGCAGACCACUGGCUCGUUUCUGACACUGAGGCACGAAAGCGUGGGGAGCGAACGGGAUUAGAUACCCCGGUAGUCCACGCCGUAAACGAUGGAUGCUAGCUGUAAGGAGUAUCGACCCUUCUUGUAGCGAAGCUAACGCGUUAAGCAUCCCGCCUGGGGAGUACGGUCGCAAGAUUA